rnacentral:rRNA from 1 species
UAGGGAAUCUUCCACAAUGGACGCAAGUCUGAUGGAGCAACGCCGCGUGAGUGAAGAAGGGUUUCGGCUCGUAAAGCUCUGUUGUUAAAGAAGAACACGUAUGAGAGUAACUGUUCAUACGUUGACGGUAUUUAACCAGAAAGUCACGGCUAACUACGUGCCAA